UACAACCUGUGCAUUCUCUGUUCAGAUGCAAGGUGUAUUUUUUGUUUUGUUUUCAGAUAUUUUCUAUCUGAGGCCUGGUUGAAUCUUUGGGUACAGACCCUGCAGAUAGUAAGGCCACCUCUGUUUUCCUUUACCCAAGCUACAGAUGGCUAGAGGGAGAGGAAGAGUCUACCACACAGAGAUGCUCAACGUUACCGGGGACUUGCUCUGGCUGAGGUCCGGCCGGAGCUUAUUUAAGACAGCAAACGUGAAAAGUGCAAGAGGAAAUCAGCUUGUUUAAUUGAGCAUAGAUUUCCCUGGCAGCAAGAUAAGGGACCUCUUCAAGGUCAUGGGUAGAGCUUGGCUGGGUGAGGAAAGGACUGAAGGGUAUUCUCAGGUGCCGGGGAAUUCUGCAUCCAGGUGAAUAAAUUGCUGUGCCCUUGAACUGAACCCACACACCACCCG